ensembl:lncRNA
UUUCUAGAGUGGGCAGUUGUGGUAUACCUACUGUAGCAGAGAAGAGUGGUGGUUGUAUUCUACAAACUCGACUAGUACCGGGUAAAGGUAUGCAGUUGAGGCAAUCACCGUGAAGACUUGAGAAACUACUGAUUCAGCACCGUAAUGUUUAGCUGGCCAUAAGAUCCAGACAUUCCUAUCCCUCUGAAGAGGAUCUGAAUCUAGGAACUAUGGCAGAAGUGAGAAAGGAUCCUGGGGAAUAACUAGCAUACAUGAAGAUGCUCAAGUAUUAAGGACGCUAGUGAUGUGAAAGCCCUGACUUGUUCCUGGUCUGGUAGUGAUCUGGUGCACUUGUGCUAGCAGAAGUAUCAGAACAGUGUAGAAGAAUUGUCCUUCCUCUUGACAACUUGCCAUCCCAUACCCAAGUACUUAGAGUGCUAGCUUAAUGGGAGAUCCACAUUCUCUGCUUGCCUUGGAGAACGACUCCAACUCUUGCCUCAGAGAAGAUAAGGUUGCAAUAGCACUAUAUGAAUCUUUUAAGAAGCCCUUGCCCUUGCGGUGUGAAGAGAGUAUGGAAGAGUACUGCUUUGGGAAAAAAAUAAUAGCAAUGUUUCAGUCAACCUAGGCAGGUGAAGAAGAUAGAGUAGCAAGGGUCAAGGUUUUGUUUAAUCUUUGUUAGAGAAGGAUUUGAACCCAAGUCUCUCACAACUGUUGGCUGUUGAAUGAUGGAGAAGCCAAUUGCGUCCACUUCUGCAUCUCCUGAGAGAGGAUAGAUGUGGUGGCAGCUCUGAGCCAAUGAGCCACCACCCAGUUCGUAGGUAGUGAGCACCUCUCUUUUAGAUGCUUCCCAUCACUUGAGGAGCCUCCACACUUAUUUUCCUUGAACCUCAUUGAGAAGUACCUCAUUCUUCUAUAUGAAGUACCAGGAUACUGUAUAUUACAAAGGACUGUGAGUUCUAAUAUAUGCCAGCCCACAUGAUUUCAGUACCUGAGUCUCUGAAUGGAUUAGCUCCUGACUGCUGUAUGCUUCAGUUCACCUUUGAUACGGGCAUUAACAUUGAAGUCUGAACUCUCAGUGGUGAUGUAGAAGACAAACGCGUGAAAGAUUGUCCAGUACUGAGACACUGUUGUGAGGUGGCAAUAGAAGUAGCUAAGGUAAGUCAUGAGGAAGAGUCUGUAUCACGUACAACUAUCGUUCAUCCACCUCAAGGAAGCCCUAAGCAUUUCCAAUGCAACGGGAUUCUGCAUAUUUCAACAUUACUCAAUCAGCGUGAGAUUUUCAAUUGCACCCCUUGGAGGGUCAGACUGAGCACCAGCAAGGAGCACAAGGAAUUAUUUUCCAAGAAAAAUGGUUGGGACUAAGCAUUAAACAAUGUACUUGACCAUCAUGCUUUAGCAUUAAAACACAUUUCUAGACAUUCUCUAUUUGCAUAACAGCAUUUACAGUAGGACCUCCAAGUUAAAGAUUUAGGAAAUCAACAACUGAAGUAUUUAAGAACGAGGAGUACGACUAUCUGAUAUUUUUUCUCCUCUGCUGGUUUACCAAGCCAUUUUGAUAGUGCUGAGUCAAGAACAGAAUAUUCAUCUCACUAUGGAUCAUUAUUACUUCUUCAGGAAAGUAUAUAUAAAAUUCCAAGGAAAUGUUUCUGGAUAGAGGAUUCCUGCUAUGCAUCCUAUAAACAGAAAAUAGUAUUGGUCUGUACAAAGCUUGCUGUUAUUUUUGUAUAUUUAAUUUAUGUAAAAGGCAAGACGAAGCCAAGUCCAUGUUUAGAAUCUUACAAAUAAUUAAUUCAGUGCU